ACGACAACCAUAAAACGUUUCUGCGCCAAACACAAAUUGCCCAACCUUCGGGUUAGUUCAUGAUUUUUUUUCAAUUCGAUUGUUCUUCAAAUUCAUCUUCCGAUCCUUAAUCGACGCCAACGGAAUCCAACCGCCAUCCAAUUUUGCAGUCGAAUCGGAAGAUCUCGAUUUCCAUUCUCAGAUUCAAGAUUGUUCCACAGAGCAUUUGGGUUAGUUCACAGAGCAUUUGGGUUAGUUCAAGGUUCAUUUUGAUCCAUUAAAUAAUUUUAGUUACUCUUUUGGUUGUUUUGGAUUCUGUAUUUGCUAUUUUCACUUUUGGUUGUGAUUGUUCUUCGCAGGCUUUUAGGUUCUCGAGUUAGGGUUUUUCCCCCUUUGAUAUGGUUUCACUUUUAUUACGCAGAUGUUUUUGUGUGUUUCUGCACUACGCUCAUAAAUUUUGAUAUGGGUUCUCGUGAUUUUUACCUGCAUCAUCGGAAAUAUUGGAGUGUGGUAUUUGUUAAUCGUCGUCUUCAGUUUGAUUGUUGUUAAUUUUAUUUAAUAUUACCCGUUUUGAUUUGGUCGGUUAACUGUCAUGAGUUUUUUUAUCGGUGUUCGAUUACGAAAAAGACUCAUGCCUAAGCAGAUUGUGUCAAGAGACUUUGUUGAUGAUUGUUAAUAUCAAUUCGUCUGUGUGAGCCUUAUUUUUCUAAUAAAUUGGGACUGUUUUGUGUUUAUAUUUUGUUCUCUCUCUACACAGAGGUGUGGGAUUAACAAUGUUAUGUUUAAUUAGUGAAGAAGUCGGGGACUGUUUGAAGAGAGAAGUUUUACAUUUAUCCUUUGGGAUUUCCUUCUCUGUCCCUGUAUGAUUGGAAUAUUAUGUUUUGUCUUUGUUUCAAGGGUUGUCUUGCUAAUUGGAUAUUUGGUUUCAUUGCAGUUCACUUGACUGUGGUUUUUUUCCCUUUCUCAUUCUUACAAUCGUCUCAGCGACUGUGUCCUUUGGAAUGAACAUUGGACUUAACUUGAAGCUCAUGAAACAAGACAAUAAUUAUAUUGAAUUAGAGGAGGAUCUUAAUCCCUCUUUCUUGUUGUUAUGCUUUCAAAUGUAUUAUUCUUGAUUCAUUACGGCCUUCUUGUGAGAGCUUCUGUCGAUAAUUUCUUGUUUUAUUUUCUAUUUUUAGCCUCAACUGGAGUAUAAAAAUUACAUUAUGAGGAAAUCCAACAGGUACGAGCCAUUAUGCAGUGUGUGUUCAUCUUUCUAGAUCUUGUGUGCAUGUUCUUUAUGUCACUCUUGCUUUUUCUUUAAGUUUUAGGACUUUGUAGGUUAUGGUGCUUAAGUUUAGUAAUUUUAAGUUAUUUCAAUCUAUAUGUUGUAGUUUUGGUAUAUUAUUUCAUUGAUGUAAGUGCUAAAAGCAACGAGUUCAAGGUGAGCUACGUUAUUCUUGCGGAGGCAAGAGCAUAGUGAGUGAGAUUUGGCUAGGAUUACUUCAUAUGAGAUUGAUAGGUGUAAUUUUUCUUAAUUGUUCAUAGAAGGGAUGAGGGUUGAUUAUAAAAUAGAAAAUGUGUUCAUAUGGGGGUUGAUAGUUGUUAUACUUUUGAAAUUGUUGAUAUGGGGUUGUCUAUAACGUUAGAAUUGUUCAUUUUGGGUUUUUCAUAUCCUUUUAACUUAGAAAUGCUUCACAAGGUUGUAAUAUUGACAAUGUUAAAGAAGUGAACUUUUGAUAAAGAUAUUAAUAGAAAUUUGGUUAAUAUAUAA